CCUACGGGUGGCUGCAGUGGGGAAUAUUGCACAAUGGGGGAAACCCUGAUGCAGCAACGUCGCGUGCGUGAUGACGUCUUUCGGUAUGUAAAGCUCUUUCUGCAGGGAAGAAGCUCACGGUACCUGCGUAACAUUCCCCGGCUAACUACGUUCCAGCCGCCGCGGUACUACGUCGGGGGCAAGCGUUAUCCGGAUUUACUGGGUGUAACGGGAGCGUAGACGGUGGGACAAGUCUGCAGUGAAAGCCCGGGGCUCAACCCCGGGACUGCAGUGGAAACUGCCGGACUGGAGUGCUGGAGAGGCAAGCGGAAUUCCUAGUGUAGCGGUGAAAUGCGUAGAGAUGAGGAAGAACCCCAGUGGCGAAGGCGGCUUGCUGGAGAGUAACUGACGCUGAGGCUCGAAAGCGUGGGGAGCAAACAGGAUUAGAUACCCUUGUAGUC
rnacentral:rRNA from 1 species